rnacentral:rRNA from 1 species
UAGUGAGUUUGAUCCUGGCUCAGGGUGAACGCUGGCGGCGUGCCUAAGACAUGCAAGUCGAACGCAGUAGCUUGCUACUGAGUGGCGCACGGGUGAGUAACACGUAACUGACCUACCCCGUAGUCCCGCACAACGGUCCGAAAGGACCGCUAAUUCGGGAUGUGAACCCGCACCGUGGUGCGUGUUUAAAGAUUCAUCGCUAUGGGAUGGGGUUGCGGCGCAUCAGCUCGUUGGUGAGGUAAAGGCUCACCAAGGCGACGAUCCGUAGCUGGUCUGAGAGGAUGAUCAGCCACACUGGGGACUGAGACACGGCCCAGACUCCUACGGGGAGGCAGCAGUGGGGAAUAUUGCACAAUGGGGCGAAAGCCUGAUGCAGCGACGCCGCGUGA